AGAACCCUGGACCCUAUUACAUCACUGGUAAAAAUAAUCCCCGCGAGGGAAAAGACAGACCACGUGACCACAGAAACACAAGAAAUGUCGAAAUGGGCAAUAUAUGACUCAAAUAUCACGUGACACUGUUACGUCAUAUCGUGCCAAAUGUAAUAUGAUCAAAAAUUAUUUUAACUUUUUAUAGAGAACUCUCAAAGAGAUUUUUAAAAUAACAACAGAAAUAUCAAUUUCUUUGUACAACGAAAUAAAAAUUUUAACAUAGUUUUGAAAAUAUGUACGUUAAGAUUGGAAUUUUAACCAAGAAUUUUGUGUUCGACAUUUUCGGAUUAGUUGCUUUGAAAUCAUUACAUUUAAGUCAAAUCUGUAGAACAUUAAUUGUAUGUCGUAUCGUUUACAUUUACGACAAAUGUGUAGGUCAUUAUUGUAUGUGGUAAAGAGAUUAUAGCUACUACAUGUUGUACAAAGUAUUACACUUACGAAAAAUCUGUAGAAUAUUAGUUAUACAUGUAUGUUAUAACGUUAACAUUUACGACAAAUCUGUAGAUCAUUGAUUGUCUUUUCUCUAUUUUUGUAAACUCAAAGAUUAUCUGAUGUAAGCUUAUGAAUUCAUUGACAAAUGAGAUUGAUUAAUUAUGUUUAUUUAGUCAACUAUUUUUACGGUUUCUUCAUGACCAGAAUAAAACACUGCUUUGAUGACGAGUCCCGCCUGUCCGCCUACUCUAUCAUUCCCGUUCAUCAUUUAUGUUCACGUAGGCAAAAAGACAAGUUUCCUAUGUCUAUAAUUAUCAUUUUACAUGAAAAUUAGUUACUAACUAAAAUUAUACCGUAAAAAACAUUGAUGUGUGGUUAUACAUAAUCAUUGCUUAAUGAUAUGCUGUUUUAAAUGAAUGUUCAGUUCUUUAGAUUUAUCAAACACUUGUUGUUUUUAUGUCCUCUAUGUGGUCAUUUUCUUUGUCCAAUUGUCUAUUGUAAUUUUAAUGUGGAAUAAAUCAUUGAUGGUUUUGAGUUUCAC
rnacentral:misc_RNA from 1 species